GGCUCUUUGAGAUAAGAUAAUAAAGAGUCGGACCUGCCCAGUGAAAUUUUUUAACGGCCGCGGUACUCUGACCGUGCAAAGGUAGCAUAAUCAUUUGCCUUAUAAUUGAAGGCUUGUAUGAAUGGUUUGACAAGAAUAUAGCUGUCUCUAUAUAAUUUAAUAGAAUUUUAUUUUGAAGUGAGGAAGCUUGAAUUUUAUUGAUAGACAAGAAGACCCUAUCGAGCUUGAAAAAAGAUUAUAGAGGUAUUUAAUUAAUUUAAAAAAUUAUCUAUAUUAAAUUUUGGUUGGGGCGACUUAGGAACAUAAAAAGCUUCCUAGAUUAUAAAGUUAGCAAAUGUGAUCCAAAAUAUUUUGAUUAAUGAAAUUAGUUACCGUAGGGAUAACAGCAUAAUCUUUUUUGAGAGUUCUAAUCGAAAAGAAGGUUUGUGACCUCGAUGUUGGACCAGAAUUUCCUAAAGAUGCAGCAGUCUUUAAGGGUUGGUCUGUUCGACCAUUAAAAUUCUACG
rnacentral:rRNA from 1 species